rnacentral:lncRNA from 1 species
UUUAUGUGCAUGUUUUGCAACUAAGAUAUUUUCACUUUAGAAAAAACUUCAAAUACCAUUCCUAUGGUUUCGCGUUUCCUCACUUUAGUACCAUGUGGUUUAAAAUGUAUCACUUUCACACCUUGUGAUUUCGUUUUUCUCUUUCUGUUAUCCUUUCUAUUAAUUUUUUCAUUAAAAUAGUGACAAAAUUAAAACAACAACAGGGUACUAAAGUAAAAAUUCGAUAAACCACAUGAUACUAAAGUGAAUAUUUGAAAAAUCAUAAGUGGGGUAUCUGAAGUUUUUUGUAUAUAAUUUAACGGAGAGUAAAUGGAGGCGCUGACGAAAAAUAAAAUCACGUAAUACUAAAGUGAUAUAUUUUAAACCACAGAAUACUAAAAUGAGAAAAUACGAAACUAUAGGGAUGAUAUUUAAAGUUUACCCUUCUUUUUAAUAUCACUUUCCAUUAGUCUUUUUAAUAUCACUUUCCAU